UACGAAGGGGGCUAGCGUUGCUCGGAAUCACUGGGCGUAAAGGGUGCGUAGGCGGGUCUUUAAGUCAGGGGUGAAAUCCUGGAGCUCAACUCCAGAACUGCCUUUGAUACUGAGGAUCUUGAGUUCCGGGAGAGGUGAGUGGAACUGCGAGUGUAGAGGUGAAAUUCGUAGAUAUUCGCAAGAACACCAGUGGCGAAGGCGGCUCACUGGCCCGGAUACUGACGCUGAGGCACGAAAGCGUGGGGACAA
rnacentral:rRNA from 1 species